UUUUUUUAACUUGGUAGUCAUUUCCGUUUUCUUUCUCAAUUCUGUCGUCGGAAAGUUUUCACGGGAUUUCAGUUCUGCGCCCUCUCUCUCUAGAAGUCGAUGCUUCAAAUUCCUCUUAUACUCUACUACAUGGAUAUAUGUAAUUGGGUUUAAAGUUAGGGUUUCCAAAUCUAAUACGAUGUAUGCUGAUCGUGUGGAAGCUGGAACAGAGAGGUCCCUAAAGGAGCGCCUUAAUGGCAACACCGUACACGCUUCAGGUCGCCGAAGACAAAUUACUGGAAAGAGACAGAGGCAAGAUGAUGAUAAGUGGGAACAUGAUCUUUACCAGGAUGGUGGACCUCAAGUAUCAAAUCGCAGAGUUAGUGCUAAGGAUCUUCGUUUGAAGCUUCAGAGAAAGAGAAUCCAGCAAGCAACUCAGAGUGGAACUGGAUCUCUUUCAAGAGGUGUAAAGGAUCUGCGUGAAAAACUCUCUAGUAACAAGCAUCCGCAGGCAGUAAAGUCUGAUCUGCCAAAGCCGAACUCAGUACCUGAGGGCAGUAAACCUGCUAAGAAACAUGUCAUUGUUGAAACCCCUGUGCCUCAGACCAAAAAAAUUGGCAGUUCAAUUUCUAGGAAAAAGGCUAAACAAAAGCCUGAAUCUGCAGAUGCUUUCCUACAGUCCCUGGGUCUUGAAAAAUAUUCAGUUAUAUUUCAAGCAGAGGAAGUUGAUAUGACUGCCCUUGUACACAUGACUAAUGAGGAUCUUAAGGCUAUGGGAAUACCAAUGAGAACUGGAGGCAAAGGGAAUAAAGAGGCUGUCAUUGGUAUUGGCCCUUCCAGUAUGGAGUGCUGUAGGCAAAGCGAAUCCCCUGAAAAAAUUUUGAACCCUGUUCAGGAGGGUCUGCACAUCAUAAAAGGUGAUGUUCCAUCCUAAAUUAUCCAAAUGACAACUGGGGUGAAUGCCUCCAGAGAAGUUCCUAUCUAGACCCUUGCAGAAGCUGAGUUGGAGAGGAAAUGUCACUAACCUGGUGAUGUUGGCUUCAUUCUGGACGGAGGACCAAACUUGGCUAGCAUCAAGGGGAAAGGAAAAGGCUGUUCUGCAUUUCCUCAACAGCCCUAAACAUGGUAAACAUUAGGUGACAGAUAUAAGGGACCAAGAAAGAAGAUACUCUCGGCACUUGAUUCUAAAACUUGACAUUUGGUGGUGAACCAGGUUCUUUUGCUUGUUCGAUUGAUCCCAAUGUUCAAUUCCAGCAUCACACAAACCAGCAGCUCUCUGUUUUAAAUAUACAAGUCUCGAAGUAAAUAUUCUGGGCCAGAUUUUCAGUUGUACUGCGGAAAGUGGCUUCAGUGAGCUCGUUAUUCAUAUCAAACCUUUAGAAGAUUGAUUGAUGGCUUGGGACAUAUUUUGAAACUUUCAUUCAAUGAAUCAGUUUUGUAAUUGUACCAAGUUGUUUCCCGCAGCAGUCUUAAGAGCUAUGUUCUAUUUUGUUUUCGUUGCUCCGUUGGUUCAAUUUCGGGUGUCUUUUAACUGCUAAUUUAUGGAAAAGGGGAAGGGGGGAGUGUUUUUUUGUGUAAGGUACUGGAAUUUGAUUGCAUACAUUUGAUGCCAAUGACAUUCAUUUUAUAUGUACAUGAACAUUAAAAUAGAAUAUCAUACUUCUUAUUUCCAGAUUUUCCUUCAA